CCUACGGGAGGCAGCAGUGAGGAAUAUUGGUCAAUGGACGAAAGUCUGAACCAGCCAAGUAGCGUGAAGGAUGACUGCCCUAUGGGUUGUAAACUUCUUUUAUAUGGGAAUAAAACGUUCCACGUGUGGGAUUUUGUAUGUACCAUAUGAAUGAGGAUAGGCGAACUCCGUGCCAGCAGCCGCGGUAAUACGGAGGAUCCGAGCGUUAUCCGGAUUUAUUGGGUUUAAAGGGAGCGUAGGUGGAUUGUUAAGUCAGUUGUGAAAGUUUGCGGCUCAACCGUAAAAUUGCAGUUGAAACUGGCAGUCUUGAGUACAGUAGAGGUGGGCGGAAUUCGUGGUGUAGCGGUGAAAUGCUUAGAUAUCACGAAGAACUCCGAUUGCGAAGGCAGUUCACUGGACUGCAACUGACACUGAGGCUCGAAAGUGUGGGUAUCAAACAGGAUUAGAUACCCCUGUAGUC
rnacentral:rRNA from 1 species